rnacentral:rRNA from 1 species
AAGCCCUGGGCUUAACCUAGGAAUUGCAUUUGAAACUGAUAAGCUAGAGUCUCGUAGAGGGGGGGAGAAUUCCAAGUGUAGCGGUGAAAUGCGUAGAGAUUUGGAAGAAUACCAGUGGCGAAGGCGCCCCCCUGGACGAAAACUGACGCUCAAAUACGAAAGCAUGGGGAGCAAACAGGAUUAGAUACCCUGGUAGUCCAUGCUGUAAACGAUGUCGAUUUGAAGGUUGUAGCCUUGAGCUAUAGCUUCCAAGCUAACGCAUUAAAUCGACCGCCUGGGGAGUACGACCGCAAGGUUAAAACUCAAAUGAAUUGACGGGGGCCCGCACAAGCGGUGGAGCAUGUGGUUUAAUUCGAUACAACGCGAAAAACCUUACCUACUCUUGACAUCCAGAGUAUCAAACAGAAAUGUUUGAGUGCCUUCGGGAACUCUGAGACAGGUGCUGCAUGGCUGUCGUCAGCUCGUGUUGUGAAAUGUUGGGUUAAGUCCCGCAACGAGCGCAACCCUUAUCCUUUGUUGCCAGCGAUUCGGUCGGGAACUCAAAGGAGACUGCCAGUGAUAAACUGGAGGAAGGUGGGGAUGACGUCAAGUCAUCAUGGCCCUUACGAGUAGGGCUACACACGUGCUACAAUGGCGUAUACAAAGAGAAGCGACCUCGCGAGAGCAAGCGGACCUCAUAAAGUACGUCGUAGUCCGGAUUGGAGUCUGCAACUCGACUCCAUGAAGUCGGAAUCGCUAGUAAUCGUAGAUCAGAAUGCUACGGUGAAUACGUUCCCGGGCCUUGUACACACCGCCCGUCACACCAUGGGAGUGGGUUGCAAAAGAAGUAGGUAGCUUAACCUUCGGGAGGGCGCUUACCACUUUGUGAUUCAUGACUGGGGUGAAGUCGU